UCGGCUUCUUGUGUCACACACGCGCACAGUUUUCCCUUUCCCAGCUUAACAAGCGAUAGCGACGCUGUUAAAUUAAAUUUAGCGACAAACGAGUUGCUUUCUUGUCAUUCGAUAUGUAAAGACAGACCGCGAGGCGCGAGCACAUGUUAACCGGCGGCGGAGGAUCACGGAGGCUCGGCUCGAGCCGGCGUCUACUCUGUCACUGAGAGGCAGGGACAAGCAGCACAUUCACUUCACAGUCGGUACGGCAGGUAACGCGUCGAUAAAUGAAAACGAAACAGCGUUUCCAAGAACCGGUGUCUUAGUGUGCAGAGUUUUAACGUCCAUCCAUUGAUGAGGCUAGCAAGACCUUCAUACAACUUCAGCCAAUUGCAACAAAUGUGGUGGAAUUUCUUCUCUGGACAGAAUCCUCGAAACCCUUUCCUUUCGUCCUGGCCAUGGGAAACAUGCAGCAGAUCUCUCAAUCUUUUUUCUCAAUCAGUCUCUCUGAUGGAGCCAAUACGGAAGUGACUUAAACUGCAAUUCGGCCAAGAUGGCGAUGGCACGCACCGCCUACUUUAAGCUUCAAAAAUGCUCUUCACAAACCAAUGGGUGACGUCACAGACACUACUUGCAUAUUUUUUACAGUCUCUGGUUUAAAGGCAUUUUAAGUGCUUGAAAAUAAAUACCCCAGGCAAUGUGCUUCUAUGGGAAUUCCUGUAGUCUGUCAUUUUUUAAAUGGAUGAAUCCUCUCCUGUUCGAAUCCUUUGAACAUCUUUGUUCGCGACGAGUAACUUUAAUAAAUGAAGUAUUUUUUGUCAAAUACAUUCCAUUCUGUGAAACUUAAAACAUUUGUUCUGUAAAAAAACUUUACACAUCUAUGAAUGAUUUUACUUUUAAUUUAACAAUUACAUUGUUUCUUUUCUUACACUGCUGUAGUUUUGUUUAUGUACAUUUCAGUAUUUCAUUUAUAUACUGUAAA